rnacentral:rRNA from 1 species
GAUGAACGCUGGCGGCGUGCCUAAUACAUGCAAGUCGAGCGAACAGACGAGGAGCUUGCUCCUCUGACGUUAGCGGCGGACGGGUGAGUAACACGUGGAUAACCUACCUAUAAGACUGGGAUAACUUCGGGAAACCGGAGCUAAUACCGUAUAAUAUAUUGAACCGCAGGGUGCGAUAGUGAAAUACGGUGUUUCGGGCGGUGAUUGAUGGAUCCGCGCCGCAUUAGCGAGUUGGUGGGGUAACGGCUUACCAAGGCGACGAUGGGUAGCCGGCCUGAGAGGGUGACCGGCGACGGUGGGACUGAGAUACGGCCCAGACGCCUACGGGAGGCAGCAGUGGGGAAUAUUGCACAAUGGGCGGAAGCCUGAGGCAGCAACGCCGCGUGCGGGAUGACGGCCUGCGGGUUGUAAACCGCUUUCGCCUGUGACGAAGCGUGAGUGACGGUAAUGGGUAAAGAAGCACCGGCUAACUACGUG